GACGAACGCUGGCGGCGUGCUUAACACAUGCAAGUCGAACGGAAAGGCCCUGCUUUUGUGGGGUGCUCGAGUGGCGAACGGGUGAGUAACACGUGAGUAACCUGCCCUUGACUUUGGGAUAACUUCAGGAAACUGGGGCUAAUACCGGAUAGGAGCUCCUGCUGCAUGGUGGGGGUUGGAAAGUUUCGGCGGUUGGGGAUGGACUCGCGGCUUAUCAGCUUGUUGGUGGGGUAGUGGCUUACCAAGGCUUUGACGGGUAGCCGGCCUGAGAGGGUGACCGGCCACAUUGGUCCUGCGGUACGGCCCAGUCUCCUACGGGAGGCAGCAGUGGGGAAUAUUGCACAAUGGGCGGAAGCCUGAUGCAGCAACGCCGCGUGCGGGAUGACGGCCUUCGGGUUGUAAACCGCUUUCGCCUGUGACGAAGCGUGAGUGACGGUAAUGGGUAAAGAAGCACCGGCUAACUACGUG
rnacentral:rRNA from 1 species